GGACCCGCACAAGCGGUGGAUGAUGUGGAUUAAUUCGAUGCAACGCGAAAAACCUUACCUACCCUUGACAUGUCAGGAAUCCUGGAGAGAUUUGGGAGUGCUCGCAAGAGAACCUGAACACAGGUGCUGCAUGGCUGUCGUCAGCUCGUGUCGUGAGAUGUUGGGUUAAGUCCCGCAACGAGCGCAACCCUUGUCAUUAAUUGCCAUCAUUGAGUUGGGCACUUUAAUGAGACUGCCGGUGACAAACCGGAGGAAGGUGGGGAUGACGUCAAGUCCUCAUGGCCCUUAUGGGUAGGGCUUCACACGUCAUACAAUGGUCGGUUCAGAGGGUUGCCAACCCGCGAGGGGGAGCCAAUCUCAGAAAGCCGAUCGUAGUCCGGAUCGCAGUCUGCAACUCGACUGCGUGAAGUCGGAAUCGCUAGUAAUCGCGGAUCAGCAUGUCGCGGUGAAUACGUUCCCGGGUCUU
rnacentral:rRNA from 1 species